GCUGGGCAUGGUGGUGCAUGCCUGUAAUCCAAGCGGCUCAGGAGGCUGAGACAGGAGGAUGGUGAGUUCAAAGUCAGUCUCAGCAACGGGGAGGUGCUAAACAAUCAGUGAUAUUCUGUCUCUA
rnacentral:sRNA from 1 species